AUGAGCUUUGAGGUCCCUCCCAACCCAAACCAUUCCAUGGGUUAUGCACACACCCCCCAGCCCCUCCUGCGUGCACCUUGUGUGCACACAGCACAUCCCUGCACGCACGGCUGGGCACACACAGGUAUGGACACACAAACAUCAUCACGUACGUGUGACCUAUGGACACGUAUGUAUUCACACACACAUGGACACACACACAGCACACACACAAGUUCUCACACACCACAGACAUCAAACACACACACGUUCCCACACAAAGGCAUCAUACACAUGUACACAUACACACAUAGGGCCACACUCACAGUCACACACACUCACAGUCACACACACUCAGGGUUACACUCACACACACAGGUCACACUUUCACAGGGUCACACACAUUCUCACAGGGUUACACUCACACACUCACACAUAGGGUCACACUCACAAUCACACUCUCACAGUCACACACACACACAGGAUCACACUGUCACAGUCACACACACUGUCACUGUCACACACACACAGGGUCACACUCAAUCACACACACACACAGGGUCACACACUCACAGUCACACACACUGUCACAGUCACACACACACACACACACAGGGUCACAAUCACAGACACAUAGGCUCACACUCACAAUCUCACACACACACACACAGGUCACACACAAUCACAGACACACACAAACACACAGGUCACACGCUCACAAUCACACACACAGGUCACACACACACAGGCUUACACUCUCACAAUCACACUCACACACACAGGCUCACUCUCACAAUCACACACACACUCACACAGGGUCACACUCACAAUCACACACACACAAUCUCACACACACAAUCACACACAGACACAGACACAGACACACUCACACAGGGUCACACUCACAAUCACACACACACAAUCUCACACACACAGACACAGACACACACACUCACACAGGGUCACACAAUCACACAGACACACACACACACACUCACACAGGGUCACUCUCACAAUCACACACACACAAUCUCACACACACAGAUACAGACACACACACUCACACAGGGUCACACAAUCUCACAGACACAGACACACACACUCACACAGGGUCACACUCACAAUCACACACACACACACACACACGGUCACACUGUCACAGCCACACAGUCACACACUCUCAGUCCCCGCCCCCCGCACGCAAGGCCCGCUCCCAUUGGCUGUCCGGUCCCGGGGGCGGGGCUCCGCGCACGGACCAAUCACGUGUCUGCAGCUCCCCCAUUUCGUGUGCGGCCGCUGAGGGCGGCUGUUCCCGCCCCCGGCCCUCAGGGCUCCCCUCUCCAAGAGACCCCAAAGCCCCGUGCGGAGCCCACCCCCAUCGAGGGGCCAUCAGCGCUACGGACGGCUUUUUUCCUCUCCUUUUUCUCCUCCUUUAUAAAGUGCCCUUUGUACGUAUUUACCUUACGAAAGGAGAUUAAAACCUCGGGCCGGGUGCCCCAUCCUCUUCUAGGGCUGCCCCGGCCUGGCAAUGUUCAUUGUGCAGGUGAGAGGUGA
rnacentral:lncRNA from 1 species